UUUUUUUUUUUUUUUUUUUUUUUUUUAACACACUGCUGUGUUGGUGCUGCUUGGGGAGGUGUGAAAACGCAGGGACAGGCCAAAACUAGCACAGCCACUAUAACCACUUGGACUUCUGUGAAGGUUACUGGUUGCAGGAAUAAAGAUGAAUAAUUGUAGUAGCUUAACUUUUCACUCUAUGAUUGUGUGGCUCCAUGCAGCAUAUGCUCCUAAAGGAUAAAAACUCUGCCCCAGAAAUACUGAUAAUCUUACUCUCCUUAUCUCACUGAUUUAUCCCAGUCUUGAUCUAAACAAUAAUAAACUUGGGAGAGAAGGAGGGAGGAAAGUGUUUUAUUGUUUAAGAAAAUAAAUUCCUGACUCAAUCAAAAUAUGCCCUUUCUAUCAGAGGAAAUGACAGGGUACUUUCUUUGUUAAAUUCUAGUAGGAAAUUAAUUUUAAUGUUUCAUUCUCAGGCUCUUUUGGUUCUGUGGCAUAAAAGUGUGGCAUGGGAAAAUCAGAUUAAUUUGUUCCAAUUGCUGCAUGCGGCUCAGAUUUUACUUGUCCUCUGUGUGAAAUUUAUAUUGCACAAUAUCGUGUUUGUCAUUCAGCUUAAUUUGUCCAUUAAAAGGCACUGCCAUACUUCCAUUUUAUUUUAAUAUUUGCAUCUCCCAAGCAAUGGAAAAAAAAACAAAAAACCUUUCUGUUACUGAAACAGCUGUUGGAGUGAAGGGAUGGUAAGUACUGCUUGCAUUGGCUCUUGUCACGGGGAGGUUACAGACUAUUUCUGGUAGAAUCCUGUCAGUAUAGUUAGCAAGCCUCUAAUCUGACAAACGGGCAAAGCUGAAAGAGUAAAUGAUAUGUUUGGCAGCUUUAAAUGAGUCAGAGGGAUGGUUAGAAAACAGGUUUUUAGUUUAAGAUUCUUCAAGGCAACCAUUAAACCACCUUUUGGGCCCUUUGGGUAUGGGCAUCUCCCUGGUGUUUGGUGAAGGAAAUAGAGUGUGGCCCACACAGUCACAUUUCUGAGCCAGAUGCUGACUAACCUUUUGGCAAUUGAGACAGGAAGGCAUUAAGCAAGGUGAGAUCUGUGAGAGAGCAAAGAGCACAUUUUCUGCUUUAUAUUUUUCUGCUUUAUUACAAUGUUUUUACCAAUUUUUCUACCGCCGCUAAAGGAUAUGUGUGCAUGUAGCUUGGCGUAGAGCAUGCUUACUUGCAACAAGGAAAGUAAGAUUGCUUUUGGCAAUCCUGUGUCUCCUUACUGGGUGCCACCAGGCAGAAGUGACCUGGGUCCUCCUAGAAGAGCAUUCUCAUCUUUAUCUUCAAACAUAACAUAAACACAAUCUAACCUCUCUUCUCCCAAGUACUUAGUUGUGUCCUAAUGUCCACCUAAUGCCAAAGUGUAAUCCCAAACCUGAAGGCAGAUUUCCUGCCAUGAUGAUCCCACCACAGUGCAGCCUACACAGAACAGUAUGGUGAGCACAUACAAAAGCUCUGUCCUAAGAACAGUCUCUCUAGUCUUCAUUAACUGCUAGACCUACCCCAAAACCUUCUGGAAAAUUCAUAUGGAAAUUUUCUUGGUGUUUUGGUAAUGAAAUUAGCUGAAAGAUAAGAAGAGAGCACAUACUGGCAUAGAAUGUUAAAAUGCAAAAUAUGUAAUUAUAGACUCACAGUUGUAAUGACUCUAAUGGAUAUCAGAGACAAGUAUAAAAGGAGAAUAAAUUAUUUCAGGGCAUAAAGAAUCAGUUAUGGAUAAUUAAGCUGCAAUUAUCAUUACUAUGCCGCUAUGAUAGUUUUUUUUUUAAACUAAUUUUUCUAAAAUGGAAAAAUGCAAGUUAAGCAUGAAUUCAUCUAUUAUUUGCCAUUCAGAUAAAAACAUUUUUCUAGUGCUUUUCAAAAUGUGCCAGUGGGACAGAUCUCAGUUUUACACUAGCGAGAACACCAGGGAUUUUUAUGAAGUGAUUUAUUUCACAUCACAAAGGUGUUCAAUGGCAUCAUUUAAACUCAUAUUCAGUGAGGUGAAUAAACUCGUGCCCACUGCCAAUCAUGGAAAUCAGCAAUUAGGUUCCAACAGAGUUCUUGACAUGUUUAAGAUAAGGGUUUUGGUAAAUCUAAAAUCCAGGGCUCCAAUUCAGAGCAAGGACAUCACAGCUUAGAGUGGCCAGCAUUGUUCUUGGUUCAAUCUGCAGAUGGCGAGCCUGGAAAUCAGCUCCUAAAAAUCAGCUGAUUCAGUCUCAGUUGAGACCAAUGCUCAUUGGUGUCACCUUGCUUUAAAAGGGCCCUUGUAAAACAUGUCAGGUGAGUAUGCGCUCCGUGAGCAGGUGUGGUGUGGGAAGAAUCUCUGCUCAUGAGAUCAGAGCCCCAAGAUGGCAGCAGCAUUGCAAACAAUGAGCCAUGAAGGCAGUGGGACACCUUCUCUUCAUCUUCAGGCACGGCAGACUUUGCAGCUGGGGAGGAGCUCCUUACUGGUACCAAUGUACAAAUUCAGGUGUUAGAAGUGACAACCCAAAAUGUGGAUAGAGGACAACUUUGCCUGUAUUGCAUGGUAGCCUGCACAAAGGAGCAAAGAAAUGAAUUCCAGGUUUGCUCCUAGCACCAUCUCUCUAUGGAUGACCCAAGGUAGGAAUAUUUGCUGAAGAAUUACUUUUGAGUUCCUAAAGCCUUUGUAUCCUUUGGUAUUCUGGCUGGCUUCCAGCUGCUGCAGCGGAACUGUUGGGGCUCCCAGGGAGGUGGGGUUGUCUCAGAUACCUUGGACUUAUGGGAGAGAACUGCAUGCUUGGGUUUAGGUACCCACAUCCCAUCAGGGUUUUUUUGCAUGAUUGCCGUGACAGUAAACUCCUCAGUGCCGGGCUUGUCAACUACUUUAUAUGUUUUUAAAAAAGGGAUUUUUUUUAAAUGCUGAAAAUUUGGAAUAUACCAGAUUCUAAUGUUCCUACUUAAUCCAGACACCUCUUUCUACUGCUCAGCAUUUGUAGACUAAUCUUGAAGAACCAUAUUCACUCUACAACAGAUGGUCCUCAUAAGAGUAUUCAAAAACUUACUUUAUCAUCAUUAAUUAGCUGGAAGUCUUAUGUAUGCCUUGAUAGCAUCUGAAGCACUUAUCUUCUUAGAAACUACAUCAAUUCAUUAUGGUUCAAAAAUACUAAUGAACUUCUUUACUCUCCUGUUGAGGUAAAGUUAGAAGCAUUUUUUUAUUAUUAUACUAACUUGAAAUAAAGAACAAAAGGUUAGAUUUAUUUUUUGCUUUACAGAAAAGAAUUUAAAAAGCAUUUUGUUUCAGAAAAUUCAAAGGAAGGCCAAAAUAAUUUAUUAAUUUCUAAUAAUGAUAAUAUUUUUCUUUCUGUAAUAAUCACUAGGAUAUCAUUGUGCUAACUGUAAUUUGAAUUCUAAAGGUAUUUUCAUGCUGCUGAAUUAAUUUUCCCUAUACAGUACAUUUUGAAUGGACAGCUUCUCUUACAGCCCAACUUACAAAGUUUGUCUCCAAGGGAAAUGUAUCAGGUUACAUAAACAUUUUUUGAGGGGUUGGGUAUAUGUAUAAAACCCCACGUGCUGGAUGAAAGUGCUUUUAAAAUUUUACGCCAUUGAUUAAAUAUUGCAGGGUGUAUCAAACAAAAUAUUUUCUCUUGGUCAAGGUGACCUCUUCUUGCCUUCUAGACCAGAGUAUCUAUUUCACAAGACUAGCAUUUUUCCCCCUGAGAAGUAUCAGUUAAAUAGCAAAUUAAUUUUCUGAUUAAAAAUGAAAAUACUAGGAUGGAAAAGGCAUAGCUUGUUGUGAUUUUUAUAUAUGAAGCACUGAAGUUAAAUUCUAUCCAGCUGGCUGAAGUUUUCACUCCUGAGCUGCCCCCAGAUCUCAGCUGCAGACUUGUGGACAAACAAGUGCCAGUCACCCAUAUUUUGGGCAGUGCCUCAGUGUUGAUUUUUGUUACAGUAGUGGAGACUUGGGGCAGAAGGGGAAAAGCACCAACAACUCAAAGACUCUGCCAAGCCCUUCCUCAGGUGCACUAAACACAAGUGGUGAGAAGUCCUUGGGGUUCAGCUGUGUGUCUCCAGCUCACCGAGGGACAAGGGAGCUUGUGGCAGAUAACUUACUUAGAGAGGAGAUCCAAGCUGGUUGUUUUGUAGGGAAAAAACAAGUAGAACAAAAAGAGGUUUAGGCUGAAAAAGGUUUAUAGUACUAUGCUGUAAAAACAGUACCAACAAUGGGUUCCUGGUCUCUGUUUAUGUGUUUUUAAUGCUUGUCUUUGGAAGAGCAUUUAUUCACUGCUUUUAUACAUGUGUCUUCUUCCUAAAGGUGCAUGCCUUGAUCUUUGUUUUUUGGAGACAGUACAAAAGAGAUUUCCCCACAAAUUCCACUUCGGGGCUUUUAAAUAGCAGUUAAUUGCAUCACUGAUGCCAUGGGAGGUGGGCAUAACCCCUCACGCCACAGCAUGUGGGCAAAAGGAGCAGAUCCCUUGUCUUCUUGUGGUACAUGCACAUGUGUCUAGGAAUGAAACAGGGCUUUAUUCAGCUGUCAGUGAUCACACUGUCACAGAUAAUGUCUCACAAUUUGGGUUCUUAACUGAAAUCGGUCAAUAUAUUGUUCCCCUGGGAUCAGUUUGCAGCUCAGAUUCACUGCAGCAGUGAACAAAAUGAAACUAUUAUCCUCUUUUUGCCCCUCUUCUGUAAAUAGAACCAAUCCUUUUAGCUUCAGUUUUGUUUCUAGUCAUGAAACAAAGAAAAAACAAAAAACCAUAGUCUUCCCAUUCCUGUAACUGAGAUGGCUUAAAAGGGCUCUUACAUCUGCUUCCUAUUCCUUUGUGAUAACAGCUCUGGGAAAGAAAACAUGAUUUCCUAGUAUCUGUGAGAUGCUUGCAUGACAAGGCCAAAUAUACACAAACUCUCUGGAGACCUCUGGAAGAAGGAGUAGGUAUGCCAGUGACUGCAUGCUAGCAAGGCUGGGGUUGGAUGCUGCCCACAGCUGUGCCCCACAGCAGGAGGUCAGAGGGUCUGGAUAGGCUGGUGAGGCUCUGCACCUGGUGCUGCACCUUGGGGCUUGCCAAGCUGGGGGAAACUCUUAUAAGAUCCCACGGCUGAGUGAGACCUCUUGUGUAGGACCUUCUCACACCAGGCUGCAUCUGCAGUGGGAAAUGCAGCUUUCUUCCCUCUGCCAACAAUGCCUUGAGGCCCUGCAGGACUCAUUAACUUCUGAGAAGUUUGAGAGGCUUGUAUUUUUGUGGCUGCUGUAAAUUCAGUCUUAUUUGAAGAAGUGUUAAUGUUUCUGUUCCUUUCUGCUUUUAUCAGCUCCUUUUUGUCUCUGCUCUUUCUUCUUUCUUUCCUUCCUUCCUUCCUUAACUGGCUAUCAUACUUCUUUAGCCAAAAAGCAGUGUUUGUUCUGCAAAGUAAUAGGUUGAAGGAACACACUGGAGAUUUUUUUAGUGGAUGCAGCUAUUGCUACUUCUAGCAAAGACACAGGUGUGUGGUAGUGUGAUUGUAUUUCUGCACUGCAGUGUGUAACUGUGCACAUAUCCUGGUGCACGCUGUCCCAGGGUGGGCAGACACUCCAGCUUUCAGUCAAACAGCUUCAGGCUGCAAGCAAAGGAGUAUUUUCACAAAGGGGUGAAGCUGCAAAAUGUUUCCCUUCUGUCUGUGGAAGUUUUGAUACUCUUUAGAUUUAAUAAUAGCCUGUAAAACCUGCAGUGAGAUCGGAGGAAAUCUGCAAGAGACUACAGACAAGAAAAUGGAAAUAUUGUGUUUGAUUUUAAGUGUAUUGCUGAGUUUUACAUUGUGGUCACUCUUCCAAAUCCAGGUCCAAAACAUACCCUGGAUGCUGAAUGUUUACAUGCAGUAUUGUCUUAGCAAUUCCCUUGCAAAUUGUUGCAGAAACCUCUCCUAGCAAACUGCAGCUGGGACAUUUGCUCAGCAUCAAAAGUAUAGAUGAUUAGAGACAUAGUUUAAUAGUGGACUUGGCAGUGUUAAGUUUAUUGUAGGACUCAAUGACCUUAAGGGUCUUUGUCUGCCUAAAUGAUUCCAUGAUUCUCAGAGGUUUUGAGCUGGCAAAAUCUAAAUCUUGUUUCUAAAUUUGCAAUUUGUUUGUAAAACGUGAAUCAGCAAAUGUUACACUUUAACAUUCACAACUUAACUUGGUUUCAAAUUGACUGUGGUAACUCUGAGACUUGACUAAUGAAUUUUGUAAUAACCACCUUCACUACUUUGGGAACUGUGCUGUGCUGACAUUUCUCACACACAAAAUGCAGAGGCCUAGAAAUUCUUUUGGUGCUAUUAAGCAAGGUCAUUUUCUAAGUUUCUAAUCUCACCCUGGGAAACAUCAUUCUUGUGAAGAUGUGGCCAUCAGAAAAGUGAGAAAAGUGCACCCAAUUUAUUUCCUGUAAGAUCUGGGAUGACUUAAUAUCUUUUGGUGUCUGCUGGCACACAGGAUAGCUUCUUGUGGGAGUUUUGUGCCAAGGCAGUAGAUUGGGAGAUGCUCAAAAAUCUGAAGCUUGCAGAGGCAGUGGCAAUAAAUAUUUUUUUGGAAGCUGUCAUGGUCAUCGAUAAAAAACCAAAGUAUGUUCUUUUUGGGGAUGAUGACAGUAUCCAUUCUCAGAUUAGUUAGAUUUUGCCACAUAAGCCUAUCAUAAAAAGGCCUCAAGGAAACCCAGAAUUGCAUCCAUCUACAGUUAAAAAGUAGUUUGAUUAAUUGUAGCAUUUGGAACUUCUGCCAUGGUUUUCCUAAAGUAAGGAGACUUUUCCUGGAAGGACCUUCUGGAUCACUGCUAUACUGCUGCUUUUAUGAUUAUUUCAGGCAAACUCCUAGUAAUGGAUAGAAAGUAAUAAUCCUUUUGCAGUAGAACUAUGGCACAUUUUUAAUGUACAGUCUUAGUUGAUUGGUGGAAUCAUCUCCUUGCUACAUGUUUUUAAGAUGUGGUGUGGCAGGAAGUUUCAUGAGAGAAAGCUGGUAACCAUGAAAAUUCAUUUGUGGCACCUGGAUAUUUUUCCCUUCACACUUGUCUGAGACUGGUGGAACAACACUGCCUGCAGAAGCUGGUAGGGAACAACCUCUAAAAGAGACAUUGGGUAAGACUGGAGACAUCCUCUCAAUUUCUCCUUUAGACUCUUCUUUCUAUCCCUUCAAAUAAAUGCCAAAACCCAAAUGCCAAAACCUCCAAAGGUUAUAUCUAAGUGCUAUCAUUUAGAUGUGUUAGGAACACAAUAUCUUCAUCUGUUCAGAGAUUGAAUUCUCACUUCACUACACUUCAAAGUUUCAGCCUACUUCAUCUGAAUAUGAUUUGAGUGGCAGAUCCAUCCAUCUUGGAAAGGCAUUGUGUCUAAUUUUGUUCAAGAGAGAACUCUUUGACUUAGUGUGCUGCUUACAGCCUAAUACAGCACCCAAACACUGACAAGCCCUUUGUGCAUUCAGCAGAACGCAUCAGUAGCUGGAUUUCUUCAAGGUUUGAAAUGGUUUGUAGUCCAUUUUGGUGUCAUUUACCAAAGCAGUCCCUAUGAGGUACAAUGAUCUUAUGUUUUGUUCUCUGCUAAGUCUCUGAUCUCCAGAUCUAGGAACUGGCAGAUCUGCUAUUUCUUGAGUACUGUAGAACUGCAAAUGUAUAAUUUCACAAGUUAAUCUUGAAAUAGUGCAAGUGUAAAUGUCAGUAGCUUUCCACAUAGAUACAUUGCAUUUUUUGUAUUCCUUUACUUAUUAGAGUUUUAUAUUGCUUUUUUAUUGCAAGAGAAAUGAUAUUAAGCUUACUUAUGGUCUUUCAAAGGUAACACAGGGAAAUCAAAAUACUGUGUAAAUAGAUGCUGCUUAGAGACCUAGACUCUUCCUCAUUGAGAGAAUAAGUCUGCAUUCUUUAAGAACUGGACUUGGACAAACAGGUCUGGCUAUACUUGACUGAAUUACUCCUCCCACUGUCAUCUUUGUCUUGUGCAGUAGCAGUAGUACUACUACAAGUACUGCUACGCGUAGUACUUGUACAGGAGCAGAUUUUUCAGUGUCCAGAUCUUAGGCCAAAUGUCUCAGUUUUGAUCUUCUCAAAUUAACCUUGUUGCACAAGGUUGUGUGAGUAAAUUGAUAUGUGAAUGAACUUGUUUUUCCUCUCAAGUCUGUGAUGGUGUGUUGGAACUUAACUGAUGGGCUGAAACUUCUUUAUUUUUACCACUGUUGGAAACUAAUUUUAAGAACUGAUGCAUUUGAGGUAUAUAUAAAGAAAGUACGCAUCCUUGAAGUGAACAACAUGUGAUAUGUGAAAGAAGAGGAGGGAACAAGCAGCUAAAAAAGGUAAAGUUAGCAGUGUAAGUGUCAUUGGGCACAGACAGAUGGAUACCAGCUGUCAUUUUGGUAGAGACUAAGAUGAACUGUAUGAACGAGUAAGAAGAAUGUACUUUAACUGAACACUGCUAACCCUGUAGA
ensembl:lncRNA